GAGUUUGAUCCUGGCUCAGAAUCAACGCUGGCGGCGUGCCUAACACAUGCAAGUCGCACGAGAAAGGGGCUUCGGCCCUGAGUACAGUGGCGCACGGGUGAGUAACACGUGAAUAAUCUACCUCCGAGUGGGGAAUAACUGAGAGAAAUCUUAGCUAAUACCGCAUAACACUUACGAGUCAAAGCAGCAAUGCGCUUGGAGAGGAGUUCGCGGCAGAUUAGUUAGUUGGCGGGGUAAUGGCCCACCAAGACGAUGAUCUGUAUCCGGCCUGAGAGGGCGCACGGACACACUGGAACUGAAACACGGUCCAGACUCCUACGGGAGGCAGCAGUGGGGAAUUUUGCGCAAUGGGGGAAACCCUGACGCAGCAACGCCGCGUGGAGGAUGAAAUCCCUUGGGAUGUAAACUCCUUUCGAUAGGGAAGAUAAUGACGGUACCUAUAGAAGAAGCCCCGGCUAACUUCGUGCCAGCAGCCGCGGUAAUACG
rnacentral:rRNA from 1 species